UACAGAGGUCCCGAGCGUUGUUCGGAUUCAUUGGGCGUAAAGGGUGCGUAGGCGGUCUUCUAAGUUUGAUGUGAAAUCCCGGGGCUCAACCCUGGAAUUGCAUUGAAUACUGGAGGACUAGAGUACUGGAGAGGAAACUGGAAUUUACGGUGUAGCAGUGAAAUGCGUAGAGAUCGUAAGGAACACCGGUGGCGAAGGCGGAUCUCUGGGCCAUUACUGACGCUGAGGAGCGAAAGCGUGGGGAGCGAACAGG
rnacentral:rRNA from 1 species